rnacentral:rRNA from 1 species
UACGGAGGGUGCGAGCGUUGUCCGGAAUCAUUGGGCGUAAAGGGCGCGUAGGUGGCCCGGUCAGUCAGUGGUGAAAGCGCGGGGCUCAACUCCGCGUCGGCCGUUGAUACUGCGGGGCUGGAGCACUGUAGAGGCAGGCGGAAUUCCGGGUGUAGCGGUGGAAUGCGUAGAGAUCCGGAAGAACACCGGUGGCGAAGGCGGCCUGCUGGGCAGUUGCUGACACUGAGGCGCGACAGCGUGGGGAGCAAACAGG